rfam:Ipomoea nil DNA, scaffold: scaffold3056, cultivar: Tokyo-kokei standard.
GCCCGUCUAGCUCAGUCGGUAGAGCGCAAGGCUCUUAACCUUGUGGUCCUGGGUUCAAGUCCAGGGUGGGCG